rnacentral:rRNA from 1 species
GCAAUGAAAGUGGGGCAGGCCUCGUGCCUGCCAAGGGAGGAUGGCUCUUCCUCCCUUUUUUCCGAARGGGAGGGAAGCCCGCACUCCCGGGGCGCCCCGGCUUCGGSCGKGGGCGCACUCUGAGCGUACACGUUGGGACCCGAAAGAUGGUGAACUAUGCCUGGUCAGGACGAARUCMGGGGAAACCCUGAUGGAGGUCCSCAGCGAUUCUGACGUGCAAAUCGAUCGUCARAGCUGGGUAUAGGGGCRAAAGACUAAYCGAAYCAUCUAGUAGCUGGUUCCCUCCRAAGUUUCCCUCAGGAUAGCUGGSGCCCGYUUUGAACGANACNAGUCUCAUCCGGUAAAGCRAAKGAUUARRGGYCUUGGGGCCNAAACNACCUCAACCUAUUCUCAAACUUUAAAUGGGUGARAACUCCGGCUUGCUCGAGUGAAGCCGCGAGGUGGAUCAGGGUGCCAAGUGGGCCMUUUUUGGUAARCAGAACUGGCGCUGUGGGAUGAACCAAACGCYGGGUUAAGGCGCCUAAACCGGAGCUCAUGGGAGACCAUGAAAGGCGUUGGUUGCUUAAGACAGCAGGACGGYGGCCAGGGAAGUCGGAAGCCGCUAAGGAGUGUGUAACAACUCACCUGCCGAAGCAACUAGCCCUGAAAAUGGAUGGCGCUAAAGCUCCRUGCCUAUACCCGACCGCCKGUAGGCAUAGGCGUGAGCCUGGCCCCUUCUGGGGAUAGGCGAGCGCGCGAAGCCCCGGCRAGUAGGAGGACGCGGCGGUGUGCGCGGAAGGGUCUGGGCGUGAGCCUGCCUGGAGCCGCCGCCGGUGCAGAUCUUGGUGGUAGUAGCAAAUACUSAAGCGAGGGCCUUGAGGGCUGAUGUGGAGAAGGGUUUCGCGUGAACAGCCGUUGCACACGAGUCAGUCGAUCCUAAGCCCUAGGAGAAAUCCGAUGUCGAUGCGGGGGGCUUGUUGCUCAAGCUUGACUUCGCCCUCGAUGGGCGAAAGAGAAUCCGGUUCCUACUCCGGAACCCGGCAGCGGAACCGAAUCUACGGGUCUUCGUCAGAGAAGCUCGUCGGSGUAACCCAAAGGGACCCGGAGACGCCGUCGGGAGACCCGGGCAGAGUUUUCUGUUCUGCAUAAGCGUUCGAGUUCCCUGGMAUCCUCUAGCAGGGAGAUAGAGUUUGGAACNNGAAGRGCACCGCAGUUGCGGCGGUGUCCGGGUCAUCCCCUCGGACCUUGAAAAUCCGGGAGAGGGUCACGCAGAGGUGUCGCGCCGGCUCGUACCCAUAUCCGCAGCAGGUCUC